GAUGAACGCUGGCGGCGUGCCUAAUACAUGCAAGUCGAGCGAACGGACGAGAAGCUUGCUUCUCGGAUGUUAGCGGCGGACGGGUGGGUAACACGUGGAUAACCUACCUAUAAGACUGGGAUAACUUCGGGAAACCGUAGCUAAUACCGGAUAAUAUUUUGAACCGCAUGGUUCAAAAGUGAAAGACGGUCUUGCUGUCACUUAUAGAUGGAUCCGCGCUGCAUUAGCUAGUUGGUAAGGUAACGGCUUACCAAGGCAACGAUGCAUAGCCGACCUGAGAGGGUGAUCGGCCACACUGGAACUGAGACACGGUCCAGACUCCUACGGGAGGCAGCAGUAGGGAAUCUUCCGCAAUGGGCGAAAGCCUGACGGAGCAACGCCGCGUGAGUGAUGAAGGUCUUCGGAUCGUAAAACUCUGUUAUUAGGGAAGAACAUAUGUGUAAGUAACUGUGCACAUCUUGACGGUACCUAAUCAGAAAGCCACGGCUAACUACGUG
rnacentral:rRNA from 1 species